AGUGAACGCUGGCGGUAGGCCUAACACAUGCAAGUCGAACGGCAGCACAGUAAGAGCUUGCUCUUACGGGUGGCGAGUGGCGGACGGGUGAGGAAUACAUCGGAAUCUACUUUUUCGUGGGGGCUAACGUAGGGAAACUUACGCUAAUACCGCAUACGACCUACGGGUGAAAGCAGGGGAUCUUCGGACCUUGCGCGAUUGAAUGAGCCGAUGUCGGAUUAGCUAGUUGGCGGGGUAAAGGCCCACCAAGGCGACGAUCCGUAGCUGGUCUGAGAGGAUGAUCAGCCACACUGGAACUGAGAAACGGUCCAGACUCCUACGGGAGGCAGCAGUGGGGAAUAUUGGACAAUGGGCGCAAGCCUGAUCCAGCCAUACCGCGUGGGUGAAGAAGGCCUUCGGGUUGUAAAGCCCUUUUGUUGGGAAAGAAAAGCAGCAGGUUAAUACCCCGCUGUUCUGACGGUACCCAAAGAAUAAGCACCGGCUAACUUCGUG
rnacentral:rRNA from 1 species